AAAGUACUCCCUCCGUCCCAAAAUUCUUGUCUUAGAUUUGUCUAGCUACGGAUGUAUCAAGUCACAUUUUAGUAUUAGAUACAUCUGUAUCUAGACAAAUCUAAGACAAGAAAUUUGGGACAGAGGGAGUAGUUG
rnacentral:pre_miRNA from 1 species